rnacentral:tRNA from 1 species
GCAGUGGUGGUCCAGUGGUAGAAUUCUCGCCAUUCCAUGCAGGACACCUGGGUUUGACUCCCAGCCAAUGCA